rnacentral:lncRNA from 1 species
CCAGCAGACACGCAUGGUGGAACACAUGUGAGCAGGACAGGAGGGCCAUCUCUCUGGAACGCCUGCCUGCACCCACGCGCUGACCGCCAGCAGCGGAGAGAGGGGCCAGGCAGAUGGAGCACUCGUGGGUCUCCCGGCGCAGAGCCUGCGGCACACAGGACGGGAAGAGGCCACGCGGCUCCCUGCAGGAAGCGUGCCCUGCAGCAGGCGCGAACCACCCGAGCGGCCUCCACAUGCACCUAGACAGGCACGCCGGCUGGGUGCUCACACCUGGGCCCUUGCACCUGUGUCUGCCCAGAGGGGCUGGUCAGCACACCCUUUACAAUGAAGGCUCACAAAGUACACAACUCCAAGUGCCAGUCCAUGAAAGCAGUUCGCAUAGACUUUUCAUGCAGUUGAGUCUAAUUUAUAUUUUACUAUCCACUUACCCUAUGUAACCAAAUAUCAUUUUUACACUUAUUAACAAUUCAUACUUUUUUCUUCCUUAAGAGGAAUUAAAGCAUUUCCUCAAUGA